CUAUUAACACAAGUUUGAUACAGGGGAACUUUCAUGAUUAUCAAACAGAUUAAAAACUUAAGGGAACACUCAUAUUAUGAUGUUUGGUAUCAAGAUGUGGUUGCACGGAGGGUGAUCACCAAGCGAACAUCCCAAGUGGCAGGUUUCAUGAAGGCCAGUGAAAAGCAAACACUUUGAGAUGACAUCUUGGAGAAUGAUAAAUGGAGAGGUCUAACCUUUGAAACCAAGAGCAAGAAACAAAGUUUAAUGUGAGGGCAAGGGACAAUAUGUCGGCAUAAAGAAAUGGAGUAAAAUAUAAACUGUAGCUAUAGAAUAAGUUUUGAAACCAUAAGUUAGAAAUCUCAGCUGUCAACUGCGCAAUGCAAUGACUUGGCAACUUAAUAACAAACAAAAGGAGAAUGUAGGGAUGCAUUUAAGACUUUGAGCCAAGCGAUAGUUCAUGACUGCAUCUAAAGAUAAAAGCAAGAGAUUCCGAUCAAAGGCAAGAGCAUAAUUUAGCCAAAGGGUAAGUAGGGAAGGUCUUGAAGCAAAGAAGGCAAGAUCAGCACAAAGUAUGCACAUAAGUGCGUGAAGAUGAUUGCUGAUUCAUGCAAAUGGCUUAUGUUCGUCAAGGCACAGAACACCAACAUUAAAAGAUUUGACUUCAUAAUACUACUAUUGAUUUUGAAGCACUCUUGCCAACAACAUCAUGCACCCAUCACCACCUUAGGUUGUUAGAGUAGGUUAAGAAAAGUGAUACACCCUUUAAUUAUAACCAAGCUAGUUCAAGCAAUUCUUGAAGAAGAAUUGCUAGAACAUAGCCACAAUUCCAAAAUUCCAAAAUAAUCUGGCUAGGGAAGUUACAAAGUUCAGAUUAAAUGCAAAUAGCUUAACAGAAUAUUACAAAGAAUUUGAAUAACUUAAAAUUAGAAAAAUGAAGAAAAUACCACAAAUAUAAUUUAAACUGGCCAAGCAAAAAUAUGAUAAACACAACAAGAAUAAACAAAAAGAACACCAACUCCAAAAUGAGAAUUUUAUGAACAAGUUGCAGACAAUUCAUAAAUUACUCAAAGUUCUUGAACAAGCAAACAAUUCAUGGAUUUUCAUAUUAGAGAACAGUUUAAAGAAUCACUCUACUAACCAAAAAAUUGUGAAUAAUUCAAAGAUUCUUCAGGAUUCUAGAAAUAAGGUUGUUAUGCAUGUGCAUUCAAGUACUAGCAUGCCUCAUUUUCUAUCAUAAAUAAGUUCAUUUUAUGCCUAACAACAAAAGUGGUUAAGAUCAUGAACUCAAGUUCAAAGCCAGGAAAAUGAUCAGUCAGUCAUGCACAUCAUGUAAACUGCUAUAUGACAUGUCUCAACUUUAUCCUUUUCUAGUGCAACAGACACUUCAACAUGAUGGGUCAAGCAACUUAGUUUCAUGCCAAUAAGGUCCCUCCAAUUGUCUUGAAGAUCUGCACAAUUACCCA
rnacentral:lncRNA from 1 species